AGCAGCCGCGGUAAUUCCAGCUCCAAUAGCGUAUAUUAAAGUUGUUGCAGUUAAAAAGCUCGUAGUUGAAUUUCGAGAUCAAUUUGUCGGUCGUGCCUCGGUACGUACUGGCAUUAUUGAUUUCUCCCUUCUGAAGAACCGCGAUGUCAUUAAUUUGGUGUCGUGGGGAAUCAGGACUGUUACUUUGAAAGAAUUAGAGUGUUUAAAGCAGGCUCACGCUUGAAUACAUUAGCAUGGAAUAAUGAAAUAGGACGUUUGAUUCUAUUUUGUUGGUUUCUAGGAUCGACGUAAUGAUUAAUAGGGAUAGUUGGGGGCAUUAGUAUUCAAUUGUCAGAGGUGAAAUUCUUGGAUUUAUUGAAGACUAACUACUGCGAAAGCAUUUGCCAAGGAUGUUUUCAUUAAUCAAGAACGAAAGUUAGGGGAUCGGAGACGAUCAGAUACCGUCGUAGUCUUAACCAUAAA
rnacentral:rRNA from 1 species